rnacentral:rRNA from 1 species
AACGGAUUUGGCGGCAAAAUAUCCCAUCUAGAGGAACCUGCCCUAUAAAUGAUAUCCCACGAUUAAUUUUACUUUUAUUAGUGACCAGCUUGUAUAUCGCUGUUGUUAGUCAGUUUUCUUAGGAAACUUUCUUUAAUGAUCUAUUUCAUUGACUUCAAGUAAAGGUGCAGCUUAUGUAAAAGAAAGAGGUGGGUUACAUUUAUUAGAGUAAAAUGAAUUUAAAUAUGUAAAAAGUAAUGAAAAUGGAUUUAGAAGUAAUUUUUUUAUAACUAAUAUGAUAAGAGUAUUAUUUUGUGUACAUACCGCCCGUC